CGCUCAUUUUCUACAGUAAGAAACUGCAUGUGUCCUUUUUCUUUUGCAGCUUCCACUCUAGCGAAUCUGAACGGUUAAAUUCUUAAAAUCAUUUUAAAGCUUUUUCUUACUCUUUUUUUAGCAUCUCCAAUCUCUGUUCUCGAUAAGCAGUAUCAUCAAAUUCAUCCAACUGUGAAAAGAGCGCAUCUUCCAAUUCUGAAUCACUUUCGGUUGCAGCUUGAGUAGCAUACGUAUCAGCGUAAAGAUCAACUGUUGGGUCGUUACUAAUGUCAACAUUAGACAUAAUAUGUACGCUACUGUAACCUACCUAUUAUGCAGUUCUGGUUCAUUGUAAUCCUGAGUAUCCUCCUUUCUUUCAGUAACCUUCAAAGCUUCAUACUCGUUGGCGAUUUCCUUUUCCAAAGGAGAUUUCAUAGAAAUCCAAGCA